AACUAAGUAAAGAAGGGAAAGCAAGAGGAAAAAGUGGGAAGCUCACCACUUGGGGGAGAAAAGCUCUUGGGUCACUUGUUGAUGCACUCUCUCUCUCUUUCUCUCAACCAAGUGAAGAAGAAGAAGAAAAAUGAAGAAAAAGGAAGAGAGAAGAGUGAAAUUUGGCUUUAAUAGCCAAAAGGGGGAGCAUGUGAUCCAUUAUAUCACAUGCAUUGGCCCUUGGCUGUUGAUCAACCCUAGUU
rnacentral:lncRNA from 1 species